rnacentral:ribozyme from 1 species
UGCCCAGCAACUCCUAUCCCAGCAACUCUUCGUGGUAUUGGCCGGGGUAUAAUAACCUUGGGGAAGAUCGGGUAACCAACCCCGGUGGUAACUUUGAUCGUGUGCUGACAGAGAAGG